rnacentral:rRNA from 1 species
AUGUUAAUCAGAGGGCUAGGCUUUCUGGUAGUUACCUGGACCACCGUCGUUCUUCUGGGUGGCUUCGUCUCCCUACUGCACAAGAAGGAUUUUUGGUCUCUCACGGUGAUUACACUCAUACAGAUAUCGAGGGUGGUCGAUAACUAUGGGGGUGAGAACUGGAGCUCAUUUGCGGCGUCAUCAAGGGGAUUGAAUGCGGUACGCUCAGUAUUUGCACGGGGCAGGAUGGAUGAUGACAAUAUAAGAGCUGUACUGUUGGUUAAGCAAAUUUUAGGAUGUAUUGCAUUCUGGGUCCAACUAGCGACGUACGCCAUUCUAUUAUUAUGCAGUGCUGCUGUUAUCUUUCAUGCGGGGCCGUUUAUCGCUAUCGGGGUUUCCCUGUGGCGUUUAAAACAGCAUGAUUACGGUAACUCUGAUGGAGAUUCUAGCACAGCAAACAUGAAGCCGGCCCUUGAUGUCUUGUACAUCAUUGUUGUGGUCCAAGGUGCAAUCAUUAACUACAGUCUAAUGCUCAAUGCUCUUGUGCCGAAAAAGCUAGUGGCCGUAGUGGCCAAAAUAUACGGCUUCGAAGGUCCAGGUGUCGCAUUAGUUAAGAAAUACAUGAUAGAAACAAGGAAGGGAUGCGCGAAGCACCCGUCGUUCGCCAAAGGAAGGAACCUGGUGACAUAUGCUGUGGACCUGAUGGCGCAUGAUAAGUUGCCUCAAGACUACCUCUCCGGGUUGAAGAUCCUGAGAACAAUCCUCGGACCACUGGACCAGAUGAAAUCGAAUAAGUUUAAGGAGCAGCGCAUGCUAAUAAGACAGCUGAUCUUGUACGCACCAUCCAGCCACAUCUUCCGCCGCCUGUUGGUCCUAUCAAAUCCGAGAGGCUACCCAUAUGGCACAGAAAAGAGUGCACAAAGAGAGAUGACCAAGCACGCAGCGAGUAUAGUGGUGCACAUAGCAGACGGGGCCAGUGAGGAGCAGAUUCCCCAAGUGAUCCAGUGCAUGUCAUCACUGAUGGGCACAUUCGAAGAAAGUGAGCAUUAUCCCGAGGAGGAGGACUACCUGAAGCGGUUGUGGGAAUGUCUGCAUGUUCUUUUUUUGUUCGCAGCCGACGAGAACAAUUGUAUACUCAUCAUCCACGCUCGAGGUUUGCUCACCAAGAUCCUGACGCCUCUAACCUCCGACCACUACCACCAAAAUAAUCAUGAAGAUUGGGGGGACGUACUAGCGGAAUCACUGAAACUGAUUAACCGGCUCACGACUGUUCAUGGUCAUGGACAAACCCUGCUUCGGGAUAUCUCAACCAACCAGGAAGCAGUCGAGCCAAUGAACAGGAUUCUCGGGUGUGCUGAAUGUGAUGAUAAAGAACAGAAGGCAUUGAUCAUAAGGAUUUUCACCGAACUACACGUGCAGGUGCAGCUCCCAAACAGAGUAAAUUUCAUCGAGAUGCUAGCAGACAUCUACACUUACACUGCCGUCGGCUCCACCAGAAUACCUGGGCCAGCCAGAAUAGCGGCACUUGAAGCACUGGCGAAGCUAUGUUCCCGAGAUGGAAGCAAUGCCAGGAUUAUUUUACAAGUAAAUGGUUCUGCAGUUUACUCUUUCACAGGGGAUCUUGACGCUGCAAGUAAUGGAUAUUGCAGAUACCAUAUAAGUGUAGCGGAAAUCCUACAGCAUGCUUGUCUCCAUUACACUAGGGAUGAUGAAUGCCUCGGAGUACUCAAGGGAUCCAUGACUUACGUGAUGCCAAAGGUGCUCACCAAAAUACUUACAGGUCAAGAAGGCGCUGCUUCGCAAAAUAAUUGCCAGCACAGGAUAAUUCAAAAACAGCAAAUAGAGAAAGCUCUAUUAUCCCUUGGCGUGACAGUACAUGAGAUGUUCAUCAGUGCUGAUCAGGAUUUGGCUGUUCAUUUUGAUGGCGCAAUUGGUGAAUUUAGCCUUCCGGUGAAGCUCAGGGAGAUGGUACAAAGAAACAGUGACCCCACGGCAAGUUGCCUUAUUAUACUUAAGCUUAUCAGCAGAAUGGUCAUAUCGAUGAUGAAAUGCAGAGGUAGCAGAUACCCCAAGCCAGACUUGGAGAGCUUGGUGGAUGCACUGUGGAAGGCUUGCAGCAGAAAGAUGUAUUUUAUUGACAGCUCCAUGGAUUUCGCAAGCGGUGACCACGCAGCGAAGCCUCACAGGAUUCUGGAUUCAUUUGUCAUAGAAGCAAUGGAGCUUGUUCGCAACUACAGGGAAACGGAAGUCAUGUCGCCCCAUACCAUUGUCGGUGGGGAGCUCUCAUCCAAUUAA